UACGUAGGGUGCAAGCGUUAAUCGGAAUUACUGGGCGUAAAGCGUGCGCAGGCGGCUUUGCAAGACAGAUGUGAAAUCCCCGGGCUUAACCUGGGAACUGCAUUGGUGACUGCAUCGCUCGAGUAUGGCAGAGGGGGUAGAAUUCCACGUGUAGCAGUGAAAUGCGUAGAGAUGUGGAGGAAUACCGAUGGCGAAGGCAGCCCCCUGGGUCAAUACUGACGCUCAUGCACGAAAGCGUGGGGAGCAAACAGG
rnacentral:rRNA from 1 species